AACGAACGCUGGCGGCAUGCCUAACACAUGCAAGUCGAACGAAGGCUUCGGCCUUAGUGGCGCACGGGUGCGUAACGCGUGGGAAUCUGCCCUUUGGUUCGGAAUAACAGCUGGAAACGGCUGCUAAUACCGGAUGAUGACGAAAGUCCAAAGAUUUAUCGCCAGAGGAUGAGCCCGCGUUGGAUUAGGUAGUUGGUGGGGUAAAGGCCUACCAAGCCGACGAUCCAUAGCUGGUCUGAGAGGAUGAUCAGCCACACUGGGACUGAGACACGGCCCAGAUUCCUACGGGAGGCAGCAGUGGGGAAUAUUGGACAAUGGGCGCAAGCCUGAUCCAGCAAUGCCGCGUGAGUGAUGAAGGCCCUAGGGUUGUAAAGCUCUUUUACCCGGGAAGAUAAUGACUGUACCGGGAGAAUAAGCCCCGGCUAACUCCGUG
rnacentral:rRNA from 1 species